rnacentral:rRNA from 1 species
UACGGGGGGGGCAAGCGUUGUUCGGAAUUACUGGGCGUAAAGGGUUCGUAGGUGGCCUGCUAAGUCAGGGGUGAAAUCCUGGAGCUCAACUCCAGAACUGCCUUUGAUACUGGAAAGCUUGAGUUCGGGAGAGGUGAGUGGAACUGCGAGUGUAGAGGUGAAAUUCGUAGAUAUUCGCAAGAACACCAGUGGCGAAGGCGGCUCACUGGCCCGAUACUGACGCUGAGGUGCGAAAGCGUGGGAG